UAACCUGCCCAAGAGAUCGGGAUAACACCUGGAAACAGAUGCUAAUACCGGAUAACAACAGAUGAUGCCUAUCAACUGUUUAAAAGAUGGUUCUGCUAUCACUCUUGGAUGGACCUGCGGUGCAUUAGCUAGUUGGUAGGGUAACGGCCUACAAAGGCGAUGAUGCAUAGCCGAGUUGAGAGACUGAUCGGCCACAUUGGGACUGAGACACGGCCCAAACUCCUACGGGAGGCAGCAGUG
rnacentral:rRNA from 1 species